UGGGGAAUAUUGCACAAUGGGCGAAAGCCUGAUGCAGCAACGCCGCGUGAGUGAUGAAGGCCUUCGGGUUGUAAAGCUCUGUCUUCUGGGACGAUAAUGACGGUACCAGAGGAGGAAACCACGGCUAACUACGUGCCAGCAGCCGCGGUAAUACGUAGGUGGCAAGCGUUGUCCGGAUUUACUGGGCGUAAAGGAUGCGUAGGCGGAUACUUAAGUCAGAUGUGAAAAUCCCGGGCUUAACUUGGGAACUGCAUUUGAAACUGGGUAUCUAGAGUGCGGGAGAGGAAAGUGGAAUUCCUAGUGUAGCGGUGAAAUGCGUAGAGAUUAGGAAGAACACCAGUGGCGAAGGCGACUUUCUGGACCGUAACUGACGCUGUGGCAUGAAAGCGUGGGGAGCAAACA
rnacentral:rRNA from 1 species